rnacentral:rRNA from 1 species
CCUUAACCUGCUAACUAGUAGCUGGAAGUACGCUUCCAGUCGACUUCUUAGAGGGACUGACUACGUUUAGUAGUCGGAAGUUUGAGGCAAUAACAGGUCUGUGAUGCCCUUAGAUGUUCUGGGCUGCACGCGCGCUACACUGACAAAGUCAGCGAGUAUCAACCUUGACCGAAAGGUCUGGGUAAUCUUGUGAAACUUUGUCGUGCUGGGGAUAGAUCAUUGCAAUUAUUGAUCUUGAACGAGGAAUUCCUAGUAAGCGCAUGUCAUCAGCAUGCGUUGAUUACGUCCCUGCCCUUUGUACACACCGCCCGUCGCUACUACCGAUUGAAUGGCUUAGUGAGGCCUUUGGAUCUGUCUUGAUGCCCUUGGGUAUUAGGAUGUGAGAAAUUGGUCAAACUUGGUCAUUUAGAGGAAGUAAAAGUCG